GACGAACGCUGGCGGCGUGCUUAACACAUGCAAGUCGAGCGGUAAGGCCCUUUCGGGGUACGACGAGCGGCGAACGGGUGAGUAACACGUGGGUGACCUGCCCUUAGCUCUGGGAUAAGCCUGGGAAACUGGGUCUAAUACCGGAUAUGACUCCAUGACGCAUGUUGUGGGGUGGAAAGCCUUGUGCGGCUAGGGAUGGCCCGCGGCCUAUCAGCUUGUUGGUGGGGUGAUGGCCUACCAAGGCGACGACGGGUAGCCGGCCUGAGAGGGCGACCGGCCACACUGGGACUGAGACACGGCCCAGACUCCUACGGGAGGCAGCAGUGGGGAAUCUUGCGCAAUGGGCGAAAGCCUGACGCAGCGACGCGCGUGGGGAUGACGGCCU
rnacentral:rRNA from 1 species